rnacentral:rRNA from 1 species
AUUGAACGCUGGCGGCAUGCCUUACACAUGCAAGUCGAACGGCAGCACGGGAGCAAUCCUGGUGGCGAGUGGCGAACGGGUGAGUAAAGUAUCGGAACGUGCCCAGUCGUGGGGGAUAACGUAGCGAAAGUUACGCUAAUACCGCAUACGAUCUAUGGAUGAAAGCGGAGGAUCGCAAGACCUCGCGCGAUUGGAGCGGCAGAUAUCAGAUUAGGUAGUUGGUGGGGUAAAGGCUCACCAAGCCGACGAGCUGUAGCUGGUCUGAGAGGACGACCAGCCACACUGGGACUGAGACACGGCCCAGACUCCUACGGGAGGCAGCAGUGGGGAACUUUGGACAAUGGGCGAAAGCCUGAUCCAGCCAUGCCGCGUGCAGGAUGAAGGCCUUCGGGUUGUAAACUGCUUUUGUACGGAACGAAAAGGUUUGGCCUAAUAAGCUGAGCUCAUGACGGUACCGUAAGAAUAAGCACCGGCUAACUACGUGCCAGCCGCCGCGGUAA